rnacentral:tRNA from 1 species
GGGGAUGUAGCUUAGUUGUAGAGCGUUUGCUUUGCAUGCAGAAGGCACGGGGGGUCGAUCCCCCGCAUCUCCA